GAUGAACGCUAGCGGCAGGCCUAAUACAUGCAAGUCGAACGGUGUAGCAAUACACAGUGGCGCACGGGUGCGUAACACGUAUGCAACCUACCUAUUAUUGGGGGAUAGCCUUUGGAAACGGAGAUUAAUACCGCAUAAGACAGUGACAUGGCAUCAUGUAGCUGUUAAGCUUCGGCGAUAAUAGAUGGGCAUGCGUCCAAUUAGUUAGUUGGUGAGGUAAUGGCUCACCAAGACGAUGAUUGGUAGGGGAUCUGAGAGGAUAAUCCCCCACACUGGCACUGAGAUACGGGCCAGACUCCUACGGGAGGCAGCAGUAGGGAAUAUUGGGCAAUGGACGGAAGUCUGACCCGGCCAUGCCGCGUGCAGGAUGACGGCGUUAUGCGUUGUAAACUGCUUUUUUAUAGGAAGAAGAAGCCCUUGCGAGGGAAAGUGACGGUACUAUAAGAAUAAGCACCGGCUAACUCCGUGCCAGCAGCCGCAGUAACAC
rnacentral:rRNA from 1 species